GAUGAACGCUGGCGGCGUGCCUAAUACAUGCAAGUCGAGCGAACGGACGAGAAGCUUGCUUCUCUGAUGUUAGCGGCGGACGGGUGAGUAACACGUGGAUAACCUACCUAUAAGACUGGGAUAACUUCGGGAAACCGGAUCUAAUACCGGAUGAUAUUUUGAACCGCAUGGUUCAAAAGUGAAAGACGGUCUUGCUGUCACUUAUAGAUGGAUCCGCGCUGCAUUAGCUAGUUGGUAAGGUAACGGCUUACCAAGGACACGAUGCAUAUCCGACCUGAGAGCGUGAUAGGCCACACAGGAAGUGAGAAUCGGUCCAGAGUCGUACAGAAGGUAAUAGUAGGCGAUCUGCGGCUGUGGACGAGAGCCUGGCGAAGCAACGCGGUGUGAGUUAUGAUGGUGUUCCAGUCGUAUAACUCUGUUAUUAGGGAAGAACUUAUGUCUAAGUAACUGUGCAUAUCUUGACGGUACCUAAUUAGAUAGGCACGGGUAACUACGUG
rnacentral:rRNA from 1 species